AAACGGCAGUCCCCCUUUAAAUAAACGGCUAUCAGUAUCAGGAACAGUGUUCUAUGGAACAUCCAAGUGCAGCGAAAUUUAUAGUAAAGGUUGAGGAGGCAGAGGGAAUUUUCAACUUCCUUUCUGAACCAGAGAAGAGACAGGCUCUGCAGUUCUUACUGUCAGUGUUUAGAAGAUACAACUCUUCAAUAGUACUAGAUACUUCCGGAUCAAGUGAAAGUGGUAAAACAGCUAAGGCUAAGGAACUUGGAGAUGUUAUACAGACUUUCAGUCUACUCCUGGAAAAACAAAUAUCAAAAUUAGAGGAUGGACUGGAAAAGUCUGUGACGGAUGGUGUAGAACAGUGUUUAUCAGUAGAACCCGCCUGUGAGAGCAAUGGUGAAGACAAGCAACAGCACACCGUAUACACUUACAGUGUGACUGAAAAUACUGGCAAUGGGGAAAAGCAAUCUUACAGUUUGCAACAUCUUCCUCCAAACAGAAGUAAAAAAAUUUUUGAAAGAAUUUAUUCCCCUUUGUUUACUUGGGAAAACACUAAAUUUGAUAGACUGGAACACAGAAAAAGAAAGCCAAUAGAAAGAAGGCAACCAAUUAAACUGCUUGUUAAAACGGCCUACAAACAAAGACUUGCUGAAAAUGGAGAAACUGCAUGCUUGGGAAAAGAUGACAGAAAACAAAAUUUCUCUUGCUUACUCUGUGAUGAUAAAUUUUCCCAGGAAACUCCUUAUUUACAGCACCUGGUGUUUGUCCACCGAUCUAGCCCUUGGUGUUGUAGAUUCUGUCAUCAACUGCUCACAUCUACUCAGUCAAUCCAAACUCACAACUCGCUCUGCGGCGAAUCAAACCAUCUUCAAACUCUGAAUAGUAGAGAAACUUUAAGAAAUCUUCUAGCUCCAAAUCUGAUUUCCUCUGGGACAGAAAACCAAACUCAUGCAGUUGAAAAUAACUCCUCUCAAGAAAUAUUGGAAACACAAUCCAAAUAUUCAUCAUGUUCUAGAUCAAGACCAGCAGGACAAUUCCACAGGCAGGUACAUACAGGUGAGUCCAGGUAGUUCUAGGUGAGGCCAAGUGCUAACUAAUUGUCCAGUCCUCCAGUCCUUUAAAGGUGGAGACAUGAUUUAACUGUUGUACAAUGUACAUUGUGUAGACUUUAUUGAAAUACACAGUCACAAACUGUUUAUCAUUCAAAUUUUAAUGAUUGCGUAGAAUUAGUGUUUAUUCUGUUGCAUUUAUGCAUAUCUUUAUUUGUGUGGUUUUGUGCUUGUGAACUGAACUUAAAUUUCAGAGGAUAAGCCAUUUCAAUGUUGUAAAUGCAGAACCAGUUUCAGAACCAUGAAAGGCUUGCUGAAACACAGACAGACAAACAGACACCUAGUAAAGGAAGGAAAUGUCAUCAACGAAAAAAAAUAUCUGUGUUCAAUGUGUGGAAGAAAAUACUUCAGAAAGCAAGCUCUCCAGCGCCAUUUAAAGAACCACAAAGAAGAAGCUCCACAUCAGUGUGAGUUCUGCAGCUUCACUUCCAAGGAGGCAAACAAUCUGAAGCGACAUAUGGACCUCCAUUUUGAAUCUAAACGUAACUUUGUGUGUGAAGUCUGUGGGGCAGCAUUUCAUGCCAAGAACACACUUGACACACACAUAGCCUUUAAGCAUAAUGAUUCCCGGCUGUUUCAAUGCAAUGUGUGUGAGGCAACAUUCAAGGUGAAAAAUGCCCUCAAAAGGCAUAGUCUGGUGCACAGCGAGUUGAAGUCUCACAAGUGUUGGUGUGGUGUAGGGUUCAAACGAUUGACUAAUUUAAGGCGACACAUGUUGCGGAUCCAUGGAAGCACUGACGGAUUACUGCCCCCGGUCAAGCGAGUGAAGUCUCUAGACUCAAACAAAAAAGCACCUGUAUCAAGAACAGACCUUGUAGAACAUUCUGUUGCAGACCUCUCUGUUGCUGACACCAAUACUCAUGUGGUGCCCUUUAAGCAGGAUACCAAAGUGACAAAUGGUGCCUCAUUGGUGCCUUUGCCACAGGAUACCUUUAGGGACCAAUUACGAGGUGUCGCAGAUGUAUCAUCUGGACAAGGUGAAACCUGUGGUAAUGGAAUAACUGUUGCUCCUAUUCUGUUGAAUAAUAAAAAUAAUGCUAGACUAAGUCUACAUAAACUAUAUCCUGACAACCCUCAGUGCAACUCGUCGGCUUUGCCUCAGUCAGUGGGGCUUUCAAAUGUUAUUAGACAGAUACAAGAGGUGUUUGAUUUGUCUUAAAUAAAUAUGCACAAAU
rnacentral:misc_RNA from 1 species